rnacentral:rRNA from 1 species
GGAUAACCUACCCUUAGGACUGGGAUAACCCUGGGAAACUGGGGAUAAUACCGGAUAGGCAAUUUUUCCUGGAAUGGUUUUUUGUUUAAAUGUUUUUUCGCCUAAGGAUGGGUCUGCGGCCGAUUAGGUAGUUGGUUAGGUAAUGGCUUACCAAGCCGUUGAUCGGUACGGGUUGUGAGAGCAAGAGCCCGGAGAUGGAACCUGAGACAAGGUUCCAGGCCCUACGGGGUGCAGCAGGCGCGAAACCUCCGCAAUGUGAGAAAUCGCGACGGGGGGAUCCCAAGUGCCAUUCUUAACGGGAUGGCUUUUCAUUAGUGUAAAGAGCUUUUGGAAUAAGAGCUGGGCAAGACCGGUGCCAGCCGCCGCGGUAACACCGGCAGCUCUAGUGGUAACAAUUUUUAUUGGGCCUAAAGCGUCCGUAGCCGGUUUAAUAAGUCUCUGGUGAAAUCCUGUAGCUUAACUGUGGGAAUUGCUGGAGAUACUAUUAGACUUGAGACCGGGAGAGGUUAGAGGUACUCCCAGGGUAGAGGUGAAAUUCUGUAAUCCUGGGAGGACCGCCUGUUGCGAAGGCGUCUAACUGGAACGGUUCUGACGGUGAGGGACGAAAGUUAGGGGCGCGAACCGGAUUAGAUACCCGGGUAGUCCUAACUGUAAACGAUGCGGACUUGGUGUUGGGGUGGCUUUGAGCUGCUCCAGUGCCGAAGGGAAGCUGUUAAGUCCGCCGCCUGGGAAGUACGGUCGCAAGACUGAAACUUAA